CUUUCUUAUGGAUCAGAGCGGUCAAGCGAACAUGGUUCCCGACAACUUGUCAACCGGGAGGUUUCGCUGAGAAAAUUGUGGUAAAAAGUCGCCUCUUACCGGAGAUCAGCUGAGCUUGCGCCGUCCAUGCAGCUGACGUCGACUUCCCUCAGAGACUGGCCUCAAGACCAUGGACCGUGGACACACCCCUCCAACUAUCAGCUCUUGCUGCUGGAGGCUCCCGUUAUAAACAAUGUGAGGACAUGAGGAGCCCUCACCCCUGUGACGUCAUCGUCUGCGACUUCCGCUUCCAGGAGCUCCGGCGCGCCACCUACUGGCGACAACGGCAGACUGCACCACUUCCAGCCUUUGCAUGCUCAAUGGAUUUCACAGCA